rnacentral:rRNA from 1 species
UACAGAGGUCCCAAGCGUUGUUCGGAUUCACUGGGCGUAAAGGGUGCGUAGGUGGUUGGGUAAGUUUGAUGUGAAAGCUCUGGGCUCAACCCAGAAAUGGCAUUGAAUACUAUUCGACUAGAGGAGUGGAGGGGGGACUGGAAUACUUGGUGUAGCAGUGAAAUGCGUAGAUAUCAAGUGGAACACCAGUGGCGAAGGCGAGUCCCUGGACACUUCCUGACACUGAGGCACGAAAGCUAGGGGAGCAAACAGG